GAUGAACGCUGGCGGCGUGCCUAAUACAUGCAAGUCGAGCGAACAGACGAGGAGCUUGCUCCUCUGACGUUAGCGGCGGACGGGUGAGUAACACGUGGAUAACCUACCUAUAAGACUGGGAUAACUUCGGGAAACCGGAGCUAAUACCGGAUAAUAUAUUGAACCGCAUGGUUCAAUAGUGAAAGACGGUUUUGCUGUCACUUAUAGAUGGAUCCGCGCCGCAUUAGCUAGUCGGUAAGGUAACGGCUUACCAAGGCAACGAUGCGUAGCCGACCUGAGAGGGUGAUCGGCCACACUGGAACUGAGACACGGUCCAGACUCCUACGGGAGGCAGCAGUAGGGAAUCUUACGCAAUGGGCGAAAGCCUGACGGAGCAACGCCGCGUGAGUGAUGAAGGUCUUCGGAUCGUAAAACUCUGUUAUUAGGGAAGAACAAAUGUGUAAGUAACUAUGCACGUCUUGACGGUACCUAAUCAGAAAGCCACGGCUAACUACGUG
rnacentral:rRNA from 1 species